rnacentral:rRNA from 1 species
AGAGUUUGAUCAUGGCUCAGGACGAACGCUGGCGGCGUGCCUAACACAUGCAAGUCGAACGGAGAAUUUCAAUAAGCUUGCUUAGAGAAAUUUUUAGUGGCGGACGGGUGAGUAACGCGUGGGUAACCUACCCAUAAACCCGGGACAACCCUUGGAAACGAGGGCUAAUACCGGAUAAUCUUGAGAUGCGGCAUCGUAUUUUAAGGAAAGGUGGCCUCUGAAUAUGCUACCGAUUAUGGAUGGACCCGCGUCUGAUUAGCUAGUUGGUGGGGUAAAGGCCUACCAAGGCGACGAUCAGUAGCCGGCCUGAGAGGGUGAACGGCCACACUGGGACUGAGACACGGCCCAGACUCCUACGGGAGGCAGCAGUGGGGAAUCUUCCGCAAUGGACGAAAGUCUGACGGAGCAACGCCGCGUGUAUGAUGAAGGUCUUCGGAUUGUAAAGUACUGUCUUUGGGGAAGAAUGACUGGUUUGAAAAUAUUGAGCCAGUAUGACGGUACCCAAGGAGGAAGCCCCGGCUAACUACGUGCCAGCAGCCGCGGUAAUACGUAGGGGGCAAGCGUUGUCCGGAAUUAUUGGGCGUAAAGGGCGCGUAGGCGGAUAGUUAAGUCCGGUGUGAAAGAUCAGGGCUCAACCCUGAGAGUGCAUCGGAAACUGGUUAUCUUGAGGACAGGAGAGGAAAGUGGAAUUCCACGUGUAGCGGUGAAAUGCGUAGAUAUGUGGAGGAACACCAGUGGCGAAGGCGACUUUCUGGACUGUAACUGACGCUGAGGCGCGAAAGCGUGGGGAGCAAACAGGAUUAGAUACCCUAGUAGUCC